GGCUUGGUUGCACGCGGCCCUGUGCAUCUGCGUGCCGUUUUUUCUUCCACAACAACCAGUACAGCAGACGUCGCUCGUUCGACUCGGGCCCAAGCCA